rnacentral:rRNA from 1 species
AUCGAUGGGUGACCCCUUGGGAAGUCUCGUGUUGCACCCAUGGUGCGAUCAUACUAGCCACUAAUGCACCGGAUCCCGUCA